UUGGCCCUGAAUCAAGGCCAGAAAUUUGAUGAAGCUGUUGGUUUCAAGCAGGUUCCUAAAGAAAUGUCUUUCUGUGGUCUGUUGGCCAUUUCAGAACUUUGGAAAUGUUAUAGUCAAUUCACUAGAAAGUGAUUGGA
rnacentral:snoRNA from 1 species